rnacentral:rRNA from 1 species
UGCCUUAGUAGCGGCGAGCGAAGCGGCAACAGCUCAAAUUUGAAAUCUGGCUACUUUGUAGUCCGAGUUGUAAUUUGCAGAGGAUGCUUUUGGUGAGGUGCCUUCCGAGUUCCCUGGAACGGGACGCCAGAGAGGGUGAGAGCCCCGUACGGUUGGACACCAAGCCUUUGUAUAGCUCCUUCAACGAGUCGAGUAGUUUGGGAAUGCUGCUCUAAAUGGGAGGUAUAUCUCUUCUAAAGCUAAAUACCGGCUAGAGACCGAUAGCGCACAAGUAGAGUGAUCGAAAGAUGAAAAGCACUUUGAAAAGAGAGUUAAACAGCACGUGAAAUUGUUGAAAGGGAAGCGCCUAUGACCAGACUUGUUUCUGUCAGUUUUGCUUGUUUUCGGACUUGUUUACUCUGUCAGUACAGGCCAACAUCAGUUUGUUGUUUGGGAGAAAGGCUUAGGGAAUGUGGCUCCCUCGGGAGUGUUAUAGCCCUUUGCAUAAUACCAUUCGGCAGACUGAGGACCGCGCUUCGGCAAGGAUGUUGGCGUAAUGGUCAUCAGCGACCCGUCUUGAAACACGGACCAAGGAGUCAACCUUAUGUGCGAGUGUUUGGGUGUAAAACCCCAGCGCGUAAUGAACGUGAACGUAGGUGAGAGCUUCGGCGCAUCAUCGACCGAUUCUGAUGUUCUCGGAUGGAUUUGAGUAAGAGCAUAUAGGGUUGGACCCGAAAGAAGGUGAACUAUGCUUGUAUAGGGUGAAGCCAGAGGAAACUCUGGUGGAGGCUCGCAGCGGUUCUGACGUGCAAAUCGAUCGUCAAAUAUGAGCAUGGGGGCGAAAG